UAAAGAAGCAUUUGACGUGGCAUAUGACAAUGUAUGUGCAUUUCAUUUUGCCCAGAAGUCAGCAGAGAAAACUGUUGAGAAUAUGAAGGCAAGUCUAUAUUUUACUCCAAUUCCUUCAAUGUAAACAGAUCCUUGAAGUAUCUCAAAACUUUUCAGGGUGUCAAAUGUAAACAAGUGGCAAGAAGUAUUGGUUCUGUAGGUCUUUAUGUUCCAGGAGGAACUGCAGUUUUACCUUCUACUGCUCUGGUGCUUGCAGUUCCUGCUCAGAUUGCUGGAUCUAAAAUCGCUGUACUUGUGACUCCCCCAAGUCGGGAUGGCAGUAUAUGCAAGGUAUGAUUCUUUACUUUGGGGGCUAUGCAUCGUGAGGACAUUCUAAUUUGAGAGCUGAUUGCCUUUUGUUUUUACCCCUGUGGAAGUACUCUAUUGUGCUAAGAAGGCUGGUGUAACUCACAUCCUUAAAGCUGGUGGUGCUCAGGCGAUAUCUGCUAUGGCUUGGGGUACAAAAUCUUGCCCAAAGGUAUUAGUCUCCCUCUCCCAUUAUCUUUGUCCUUAGAGUGUCACUAAGUUAUUAACUCUUAUAUCCUAAGCUCAUGUUGGCUUUAACAGUGAUUUAUGAUUUCUUGUAACAAAACUGAGGAUCAGUACUAUAGAAAAAAGCUGAAGACCAAAUUAUCUAUGUUGUUGUA